rnacentral:rRNA from 1 species
CUCUAGGAGAACUGCCGGUGAUAAGCCGGAGGAAGGUGUGGAUGACGUCAAGUCCUCAUGGCCCUUACGGGUUGGGCUACACACGUGCUACAAUGGUGGUGACAAUGGGUUAAUCCCAAAAAGCCAUCUCAGUUCGGAUUGGGGUCUGCAACUCGACCCCAUGAAGUCGGAAUCGCUAGUAAUCGCGUAACAGCAUGACGCGGUGAAUACGUUCCCGGGCCUU